UCAGACCUACGGGACGCAGCAGUAGGGAAUCUUCCACAAUGGGCGAAAGCCUGAUGGAGCAACGCCGCGUGGGUGAAGAAGGUCUUCGGAUCGUAAAACCCUGUUGUUAGAGAAGAAAGUGCGUGAGAGUAACUGUUCACGUUUCGACAGUAUCUAACCAGAAAGCCACGGCUAACUACGUGCCAGCAGCCGCGGUAAUACGUAGGUGGCAAGCGUUAUCCGGAUUUAUUGGGCGUAAAGGGAACGCAGUCGGUCUUUUAAGUCUGAUGUGAAAGCCUUCGGCUUAACCGGAGUAGAGCAUUGGG
rnacentral:rRNA from 1 species